rnacentral:rRNA from 1 species
UACGUAGGGGCCUAGCGUUGUCCGGAUUUAUUGGGCGUAAAGGGUGCGUAGGCGGUUUGGUAAGUCUGAUGUGAAAUCUAUGGGCUCAACUCAUAGUCUGCAUCGGAAACUGCCGGGCUUGAGUGUGGGAGAGGUGAGUGGAAUUCCUGGUGUAGCGGUGAAAUUCGUAGAUAUUCGGAAGAACACCAGUGGCGAAGGCGACUUACUGGACACAUAUUGACGCUGAGGUGCGAAAGCGUGGGGAGCAAACAGG